AUUGAACGCUGGCGGCAGGCCUAACACAUGCAAGUCGAACGAGUGGCGGACGGGUGAGUAAUGUCUGGGAAACUGCCUGAUGGAGGGGGAUAACUACUGGAAACGGUAGCUAAUACCGCAUACCAUCGGAUGUGCCCAGAUGGGAUUAGCUAGUAGGUGGGGUAAAGGAUCACCUAGGCGACGAUCCCUAGCUUGUCUGAGAGGAUGACCAGCCACACUGGAACUGAGACACGGUCCAGACUCCUACGGGAGGCAGCAGUGGGGAAUAUUGCACAAUGGGGGAAAGCCUGAUGCAGCAAGGCCGAGUGUAUGAAGAAGGCCUUCGGGUUGUAAAGUACUUGAGGCGUGGAGGCGGUACCCGCAGAAGAAGCACCGGCUAACUCCGUGCCAGCAGCCGCGGUAAUUC
rnacentral:rRNA from 1 species